UACGUAGGGUCCAAGCGUUGUCCGGAUUUAUUGGGCGUAAAGAGCUCGUAGGCGGUUCCGUAAGUCGGAUGUGAAAACUCCGGGCCCAACUCGGAGACGCCACUCGAUACUGCUAUGACUCGAGUCCGGUAGGGGAGUGCGGAAUUCCUGGUGUAGCGGUGAAAUGCGCAGAUAUCAGGAGGAACACCGGUGGCGAAGGCGGCACUCUGGGCCGGAACUGACGCUGAGGAGCGAAAGCGUGGGGAGCGAACAGG
rnacentral:rRNA from 1 species